AGUGAACGCUGGCGGUAGGCCUAACACAUGCAAGUCGAACGGCAGCACAGUAAGAGCUUGCUCUUACGGGUGGCGAGUGGCGGACGGGUGAGGAAUACAUCGGAAUCUACUUUUUCGUGGGGGAUAACGUAGGGAAACUUACGCUAAUACCGCAUACGACCUACGGGUGAAAGCAGGGGAUCUUCGGACCUUGCGCGAUUGAAUGAGCCGAUGUCGGAUUAGCUAGUUGGCGGGGUAAAGGCCCACCAAGGCGACGAUCCGUAGCUGGUCUGAGAGGAUGAUCAGCGACACUGGAACUGAGACACGGUCCAGACUACUACGGGAGGCAGCAGUGGGGAAUAUUGGACAAUGGGCGCAAGCCUGAUCCAGCCAUACCGCGUGAGUGAAGAAGGCCGUCGGGUUGUAAAGCCCUUUUGUUGGGAAAGAAAAGCAGCAGGUUAAUACCCCGCUGUUCUGACGGUACCCAAAGAAUAAGCACCGGCUAACUUCGUG
rnacentral:rRNA from 1 species